UCGGGAAUUUUGGACAAUGGGCGCAAGCCUGAUCCAGCCAUGCCGCGUGUGGGAAGAAGGCCUUCGGGUUGUAAACCACUUUUGUCAGGGAAGAAACGGCUCUUACUAAUAUUAGGAGCUAAUGACGGUACCUGAAGAAUAAGCACCGGCUAACUACGUGCCAGCAGCCGCGGUAAUACGUAGGGUGCAAGCGUUAAUCGGAAUUACUGGGCGUAAAGCGUGCGCAGGCGGCUUUGCAAGACAGAUGUGAAAUCCCCGGGCUCAACCUGGGAACUGCAUUUGUGACUGCAAGGCUAGAGUACGGUAGAGGGGGAUGGAAUUCCGCGUGUAGCAGUGAAAUGCGUAGAUAUGCGGAGGAACACCGAUGGCGAAGGCAAUCCCCUGGACCUGUACUGACGCUGAGACGCGAAAGCGUGGGGAGCAAACAGGAUUAGAUACCCACGUAGUCCCUGAGCGGGCUGGCAAGGCGCAU
rnacentral:rRNA from 1 species